GGAUCCCGGAAGCGGAGGGCGGACUGGGAGUAUUAGUUCGUGCGGCUGUUGUGCCUGUGGCGGCGUGGCAAUCUUAAGGGAGGUCCUCGAUGGCUUCGCGGGUUCCGGGCGUCGGUGCUUUAUUGGUCUUGCUGCUGGUGCCGGCUGGGCUGGGGGGAGCCGUCGCUGAUGACGGCGACUGGGUUAAAUUACCCAAUAAAUGCGAAGUUUGCAAGUAUGUUGCUUUGGAACUGAAGGCUUCCUUCGAUGAAACUGGCAAGACCAAGGAGGUGAUUGACACGAAAUAUGGCUUUCUGGAUGGCAAGGGAUCCAAAAUCAAGUACACAAAAUCGGACAUUCGACUGAUCGAGGUGACAGAAAAUAUCUGCAAGAGGCUUUUGGAGUAUAAUUUGCACAAAGAAAGAACAGGAAGCAAUAGAUUUGCAAAGGGUAUAUCAGAGACAUUUCAAACUCUUCAUAACUUGGUGCACAAAGGAGUAAAAGUGGUGAUGGACAUUCCAUAUGCGUUAUGGAAUGAAACCUCUGCAGAAGUGGCUGACCUUAAGAAACAGUGUGAGACAAUGGUGGAGGAAUAUGAAGAUGUGAUUGAAGAUUGGUAUAAAAACAAUCAACAAGAAGACAUUUCCCAGUUUCUAUGUGCAAAUCAUGUGUUGAAAGGAAAGGAUGCCAGCUGUCUGGAAGAAACGUGGACUGGGAAAAAAGGAGACAUGGCAAAUACAAGGCAGAAGACCAAGAAAAAGGAAGGCAAAGCAAAAAAGUCUUCAAAGAAUAAAAAACGAUCCAAGGCUGAUCAAGAAAGAGAAAACAUGCAACCAAGCACAUCAGAGUCACCUGAUCAGACUGCAAAGGAAGAUGAUCAGAAGCUGGCUUCACUUUCACACAGCACAGAUGAACUGUAGGAUCUUCAGAGUCCUGUUCCAUCCACACUUGUCUUGUGGGUUUGCAAGCUUGUAUUUGGACCAUUGCGAAUUGCUGUGGCCCAUGGGAGUUGCGAGAAGAUCCAUAUUGUUGUGAAGGGGAAGUGAAGAAAUGAUCAUGAUCACUUGAAACGGAAUUCUUCAGUGUUACUACACCUCAGCAAAGACAAGGUACAGAAAGCCAGCUUGUUACUUGUAUUCUUUGGUGGACAGUCAAAUUAGAAGUGCUGUGGAAGAUGCAGUUGAGCUGUUGACUAUCUAGUCUAUGUGGCUUGCCUUUGGAAACUGAGUUUGCUGCCCUCAUUAAGUCCCUAUCCCAUCACUUUUGACAUUGACUUGCUGGACAACAUUGGUGAAAAAAGAGAAAUGAAAAGGAAAGCAUUAACAAAGACAGUCUGAUCUUAUGGCAGUUCGUUUUCCUGCCAUAUUCCAGGAUUUGGCUGUAAUCUGACAGGUCUCUAACUUGUACAUUCUGUUAGGGGGUGAGAUGCAUUUACUGCUGUCCUUCCUUAUUAAACAGAACACGGUUCAUUUGGGAUGAAGUGAGAAUGAAGGUUCUGCCAGGAUAAAAGGCAUUGCAUUUAUCUUCUGUUUCUUUUUUUAAAAGUUCUUAUUGUAUGGAAUCAAUUCUGCAGCCAUUUCAAUAAGAGGAGCAUUUGUUAAUGCUUUCAAUCCCCAACAUUUGUUUCUGGAUAUACCAUAGUCAUGCUUACCAUUUUCUUAAGUUUUUUUUAAAAUAAAAAUGUAGGGUAUUUUUUGUAUAAUUUGUGUUUCAUUUAGUUCCUCUAUUGACCCUCCAUAUCUGUUCCAGGGAAUGUACCUAUUAUCUCUGUUCGGUGUUCAAAGUGAUGUAACACUGUUUCUUCAAGAGAUUGAAAGGAAUGAGAUAGCUAAGAACCUCCAGGUGCAAAAUGGCCAACUAAAUAUUAUUUUCAGACUGAGGACAAGUGUGCUGCAAUCUGACUUGUUGACUACCUUUUUGCUGUGGAAAUAAUGGUCUUUUAAUGUACAAGAGUUGGAUGCAUUCCUUUCUGUGUAUCCUGGACUGAGGUUUCAAUCUCUGAAUAUUUUAUCUUGUCGUGGCUUUUCUUUUUUUAUUAAAAGUUUUUUUGCAAUAUAAAAUAGAAAUAGAGACAAUGAGAAAAGGGGGGAAUGACAAGGGGAGAAAGGUGUAUAAAAGAAGGAAAGAAAAAGAAAAUAAAAAAACCAAAAGCAAUGAUUCCCAACAUCUUUCAGUGCUAUAAGAUACAAAAUACAAUUGCAAUGCUAAAUUUUUACUCAUCUAAAACAGUAAAUACUAGCUAUUUCUUUAAUUAUGAUCUACUUAAUCAAAUCUCAAACUCAAAAUUUAAUUUUUUUUCUCUUUCAAGAACCUAAAGGUGAUUUUCCAAAUGGAAACAAAACUAUUUAGCUUCUUUUCCCUAACAAAUGUGGUUAAGUUUGCCAGUUCCACAUUUUUUUCAGUCCAUUUCUCUCUUGUGGGAGUCCAAGCCGUUUUCCAUUUUUGAGUAUAUGGGAUUCUUCUGCCAUCAAGAUACAUAAUAAAGUUCCAAUUUCCCUCCCUUCUUUUUAUCCAAUAGUGCUAAAGAAAAACUUCUGAUUUCCAUUAGAAGUCCAUCUUAAGGAACUUCUGAAUUUAAAACCUGGAACUUUUCCCAAUAUUUGUUUGCCUUAUAACACAUCCACCAUGUAUGGUAAACAGUGCCCUCUGUACUGUUAUAUUUCUUGCAAACAUUCAAAAAUCCUUUGUACAUUUUAGAUAAUUUAUCAAUCUGACGUUAAAUACCACAGAUAUGUCAUUUCAUAAAAGUUCUCUUUAAGGUUAUAGUUCAAAGUAUAUUCCAGUCCUUUGGUGCUCAUAUUUUUCCCAUUGGUCCAACAUAGUCAAAAUUUCUUUCCAUUGAAUCAUGCAAUGCUUAACAUAUUCACUUUCUAAAUUCAACUCCACAGCAUUUUAUAUGCAUUAGUUAUAAGGUGCUCAUCAUUAGUACACGUGGAAUUUCAAAAAGAAGUACAGAGACACUGAUUAUUUAAGCAUAGUUAUGUUACUGAGAUUGCUUAGCUUGUUUGGCCAAACUAGAUAGAAAUUAGCUAGAUAGUGCCAUCUGACUAAGAUCAGAUCUGAUUAAUACUUGGAUGCAGGAAUAUCUGGAAAGUCCUGUAGUGCAUGCUUGACUAUUGUUGAAGAAAAAUUCUGGAAAAAUUAAGUGGCAAAUCCUUUGUAUAUUGUGAACAAAACUGCAUGGAUUCAGUCCAUGAAAGUCACCAAGGGUUGAAGUUUAGUUGAAGGAAUCUACUUUUUUUUAGUUUGCUUUUCCAGAGUUAAAAUUAUUUCUCGAUUUUUUCCCCAACCUAAACUGAAUUACUGUGGAGAUCUUAGUUCAUCUUUUUCUGUGAAGUGCAGGCUUACCAUUUACCAAGUCAAGAUAACACCAUUCCUGUCUCUCUCACAAUCUAUUUGUCUCAAUUUUAUGCAGAAUUACAGAAUACUUUUGCUUCUUAUACACAUAGUUUGCUUAAUAAUGUUUAAAAUUACAACCAGAGAGGGCAACACAUUUUAAAUUAUAUUUACACUACAGUAGUUCUGGGGUUUCUCUGCUUGUAAUUAGCUUUUCCUGUACUUUAAGAAUAGAUUAAGAUCAAAGUAGAUAGUCUCUAAGAAUAUUAUAUCUAAGAUAUCUGAAAGCCUUAGGUGGAGCUCCUAGGAUUUCCAUUAAGUGUCUGGAACCAAAGUUCCUAAACUUUCCCACUUCCCAGCACCCUUGGAGCUUCAGUGAGUUUUUUUCAAAGCACCCCCCCAUGCUACUGAACUCGUGUAUGACUGAUGUUGAGUACUGUUAUAUUCCCCUUGAAAAUUCAAAAUAACCUAUGGUGUCCUGUGACACUGCAGGGCACAUCUUGUGAACUGUAAAUCCAGACAGUAUUACAUAUGAAUUAAAUAAUUUUCAAUUUAAUUUUUACCUUUGUAUCAUCUGUUCUCUAAAAUGAAGCUCCUGACACUCUAUUCAAGGACCAGGAGGACUGCAAAUACAGGUCCUCUGAUGUGCUUAUCAACUGCAUGUGUUUGACAUAUCUAUAACCAGAACUGGGAAAACUUCUGUCAUAAAUAGGCACAAUUGUUAUUUUUUGUUUCACAACUGUGCCAGCAAUCAUUCCCAGUCUUAAUUACAGUCAUUGACGACUAGCUGUAUUUUUAAAUGAUUGUACAAUUAAACACAAGUACGUUUUCUCACAGGUUUGGUGCAGUGGAUAAUGCAUUGGGCUACGUAAGAACCUAGAAUUCUUGUCCCACCUUAGGCACAAAACCGGCUGGGUGACUGCACCAGUCAUUCUCUCUGUCAGAAAACCAUUAAAAACCACUUCUGAAAAUUGCCAAAAAACCUGCAGGGGCUUGUCCAGGCAAUUGCCAGGAAUCAGCAGUUCAAUGCAAAAGAAAAUUGCUUUUCUCAAUGUGAAGAUUACAUUUUCAUUAUUUUUUUCUGUCUCAAAAAAGUAAUAAUCACUUUUAAAUGAAAAAUAUUGGUCUAAAAAGAACACCAGAAUAAAAUCUAGAGUUGGAUAAUACUUUCACUGUACCAAACAAAAUGGAACAAAACCUGUAAGCUUUUGAAUUCUCCAGAGAUACUACAAAAAGAAACAUUCUCCUGUCUUUUUAUUUUCAUGUUUACUUUUGUCAAUCUGAGGUAAAUUUUGUUUUCUAUCAUCA